UACGGGGGGGGUAAGCGUUGUUCGGAAUUACUGGGCGUAAAGGGCUCGUAGGCGGCCAACUAAGUCAUACGUGAAAUCCCUCAGCUUAACUGGGGACUGCGUGUGAUACUGGAUGGCUUGGAUUGGGGAGAGGGAUGCGGAAUUCCAGGUGUAGGCGGUGAAAUGCGUAGAUAUCGGAGAACACCGGGUGGCGAAGGCGGCACUCCG
rnacentral:rRNA from 1 species